GGGUUGUGAGGUUAAGCGACUAAGCGUACACGGUGGAUGCCCUGGCAGUCAGAGGCGAUGAAGGACGUGCUAAUCUGCGAAAAGCGUCGGUAAGGUGAUAUGAACCGUUACAGCCGGCGAUGUCCGAAUGGGGAAACCCAGUGUGAUUCGUCACACUAUCGUUAACUGAAUACAUAGGUUAACGAGGCGAACCGGGGGAACUGAAACAUCUAAGUACCCCGAGGAAAAGAAAUCAACCGAGAUUCCCCCAGUAGCGGCGAGCGAACGGGGAGCAGCCCAGAGUCUGAAUCAGCUUGUGUGUUAGUGGAACGGUCUGGAAAGUCCGACGGUACAGGGUGAUAGUCCCGUACACCAAAAUGCACAGGCUGUGAACUCGAAGAGUAGGGCGGGACACGUGGUAUCCUGUCUGAAUAUGGGGGGACCAUCCUCCAAGGCUAAAUACUCCUGACUGACCGAUAGUGAACCAGUACCGUGAGGGAAAGGCGAAAAGAACCCCGGCGAGGGGAGUGAAAAAGAACCUGAAACCGUGUACGUACAAGCAGUGGGAGCACCUUCGGGUGUGACUGCGUACCUUUUGUAUAAUGGGUCAGCGACUUAUAUUCUGUAGCAAGGUUAACCGUAUAGGGGAGCCGCAGGGAAACCGAGUCUUAACUGGGCGUUAAGUUGCAGGGUAUAGACCCGAAACCCGGUGAUCUAGCCAUGGGCAGGUUGAAGGUUGGGUAACACUAACUGGAGGACCGAACCGACUAAUGUUGAAAAAUUAGCGGAUGACUUGUGGCUGGGGGUGAAAGGCCAAUCAAACCGGGAGAUAGCUGGUUCUCCCCGAAAGCUAUUUAGGUAGCGCCUCGUGAACUCAUCUUCGGGGGUAGAGCACUGUUUCGGCUAGGGGGUCAUCCCGACUUACCAACCCGAUGCAAACUACGAAUACCGAAGAAUGUUAUCACGGGAGACACACGGCGGGUGCUAACGUCCGUCGUGAAGAGGGAAACAACCCAGACCGCCAGCUAAGGUCCCAAAGUCAUGGUUAAGUGGGAAACGAUGUGGGAAGGCACAGACAGCCAGGAUGUUGGCUUAGAAGCAGCCAUCAUUUAAAGAAAGCGUAAUAGCUCACUGGUCGAGUCGGCCUGCGCGGAAGAUGUAACGGGGCUAAACCAUGCACCGAAGCUGCGGCAGCGACACUAUGUGUUGUUGGGUAGGGGAGCGUUCUGUAAGCCUGCGAAGGUGUGCUGUGAGGCAUGCUGGAGGUAUCAGAAGUGCGAAUGCUGACAUAAGUAACGAUAAAGCGGGUGAAAAGCCCGCUCGCCGGAAGACCAAGGGUUCCUGUCCAACGUUAAUCGGGGCAGGGUGAGUCGACCCCUAAGGCGAGGCCGAAAGGCGUAGUCGAUGGGAAACAGGUUAAUAUUCCUGUACUUGGUGUUACUGCGAAGGGGGGACGGAGAAGGCUAUGUUAGCCGGGCGACGGUUGUCCCGGUUUAAGCAUGUAGGCUG
rnacentral:rRNA from 1 species